GAUGAACGCUGGCGGCGUGCCUAACACAUGCAAGUCGAGCGAUUUACUUCGGUAAAGAGCGGCGGACGGGUGAGUAACGCGUGGGUAACCUGCCCUGUACACACGGAUAACAUACCGAAAGGUAUGCUAAUACGGGAUAAUGUGCUUUUGUCGCAUGGCAAAAGUAUCAAAGCUCCGGCGGUACAGGAUGGACCCGCUUCUGAUUAGCUAGUUGGUGAGGUAAUGGCUUACCAAGGCGACGAUCAGUAGCCGACCUGAGAGGGUGAUCGGCCACAUUGGAACUGAGACACGGUCCACACUCCUACGGGUGGCAGCAGUGGUGAAUAUUGCACAAUGGGCGAAAGCCUGAGGCAGCAGCGCCGCGUGAGCGAUGAAGGCCUUCGGGUCGUAAAGCUCUGUGCUCAAGGAAGAUAAUGACGGUACUUGAGGAGGAAGCCCCGGCUAACUACGUGCCAGCCGCCGCCGUAAGAC
rnacentral:rRNA from 1 species